rnacentral:rRNA from 1 species
AUUGAACGCUGGCGGAAUGCUUUACACAUGCAAGUCGAACGGUAAGGCCCUUCGGGGUACACGAGUGGCGAACGGGUGAGUAACACGUGGGUGAUCUGCCCUGCACUUCGGGAUAAGCCUGGGAAACUGGGUCUAAUACCGGAUAGGACUCCGGACUGCAUGGUCUGGGGUGGAAAGCUUUUGCGGUGUGGGAUGGGCCCGCGGCCUAUCAGCUUGUUGGUGGGGUGAUGGCCUACCAAGGCGACGACGGGUAGCCGGCCUGAGAGGGUGACCGGCCAGACUGGGACUGAGAUACGGCCCAGACUCCUACGGGAGGCAGCAGUGGAGAAUAUUGCGCAAUGGGCGCAAGCCUGAUGCAGCGACGCCGCGUGAGGGAUGACGGCCGUCGGGUUGUAAACCUCUUUCAGCAGCGACGAAGCGAAAGUGACGGUAGGUGCAGAAGAAGGACCGGCCAACUACGUGCCAGCCGCCGCUGUAA